UACGAAGGUGGCAAGCGUUACUCGGAAUUACUAGGCGUAAAGGGCAGGUAGGCGGUCUCGUUAGUCUGUUGUGAAAGCUCCUUGCUUAACGGGGAGAGGCCAACAGAUACUGCGAGGCUUGAGUAUAGGAGAGGGUACUGGAAUUCCCGGUGUAGCGGUGAAAUGCGCAGAGAUCGGGAGGAACACCAAUGGCGAAGGCAGCUCGCUGGGACGUGACUGACGCUGAGACGCGAAAGCGUGGGGAGCAAACAGG
rnacentral:rRNA from 1 species